GACGAACGCUGGCGGCGUGCCUAAUACAUGCAAGUCGAGCGGAUCUGAGGGAGCUUGCUCCCAAAGGUCAGCGGCGGACGGGUGAGUAACACGUGGGCAACCUGCCUGUAAGACUGGGAUAACUCCGGGAAACCGGGGCUAAUACCGGAUAAUUCUUUUCCUCUCAUGAGGAAAAGCUGAAAGACGGUUUCGGCUGUCACUUACAGAUGGGCCCGCGGCGCAUUAGCUAGUUGGUGAGGUAACGGCUCACCAAGGCCACGAUGCGUAGCCGACCUGAGAGGGUGAUCGGCCACACUGGGACUGAGACACGGCCCAGACUCCUACGGGAGGCAGCAGUAGGGAAUCUUCCGCAAUGGACGAAAGUCUGACGGAGCAACGCCGCGUGAGCGAAGAAGGCCUUCGGGUCGUAAAGCUCUGUUGUCAGGGAAGAACAAGUGCCGGAGUAACUGCCGGUACC
rnacentral:rRNA from 1 species